UUUUUUAAAGCUCAACUCUCGUGUUUUUGUAAGCCUUCUCUCUCCUCGAUAGAAACAUUAGAAGUCCAGCCAAACCACGCCCCAAAUCGAUACAAGCCCUAGAAUUCCUCCAGCCCCAAAUCGAUUCUUCUUCUGAACGAAGGGAGCAGAAGAACCACAGCUAGCCCCAAAUCGAUUCUUCUCAAUCGGUAAAUCCUUUCUUUCUUUGUCUAAUUUCGUUUUUUGUUGGGUUUUGUUUGAAAUUUUCUAUUUCGUCUUUGUCUUUUUCCAUUUGCUGUAACAACCGAAGGAGGGGAAUUUAUAUGCUCUCUUAUUAAUUGCUUCUCUCUGAUUAUCCUUCCGCAUUCGUGCCUCGAUGCUGCCUUCAUGAUGGGGGUUAUAUGAAUUUUGUUGUUUACUAUUUUUAUUUCCGGAAAUAGUGAGCUUUUUAACCACUUAAUGUAACAAGAUUUUGAUACUGUGUUCUUUAUUCUUUAGUAAAGAUGGCUCUAAAUCUCUAAUUGAAUUGACAGGUGCAGAGGGACUUAUUUGUCAACAUUUAACCAAAUAAUAUCAAAGUAUGUUAUAAAUGUUUUUUUGUCUCAAGGGACCUGCGUCACAAAGAAGGAUGAGAACUUGUGGUACAACCGAAGGAGGGGAAUAUGAAUCUGCUUGUGGUACAAAUACAAUCACAAAGGGGCUUUACAUAAAUAAAUCAUGAGAAAACUUGAGAAAGCUGGGCACUCUGUUUCCAAAAUCAGAUACCCAUUAACAAUACAAUUACAAUGGUUUGCAAAUAAAAAUAUUCUUGGUUUUACUAGUCACCUUCCUUUUUCUUUUUUCAUCAAUGUUGGUUCAUUUUUAUUCGUUCUGAAGUUAUAUUACAAAUACCCAUUAUUAAACUCUGUUUUUCAUGGCUAUUUUCUUCUUUUAGGCCUUAACAUUGUUGAUUUGUUAUAUGAAAAUGAAUACUCAUGAUGAACCUAGUGUCAAGUUAUCAUUUGUAAAUUAUCCUGAUUGCGUCAAGUUUUAUGUUUGUCUAGGUGUAAAUAUAAUGGAUGACAUGGAGCAUGAAAUAGGGAGUUACGGGGAUAAUGUAGAAAUGGAGCAUGACAUGGAGCAUGAAAUAGGGAGUUUGGAAAUAGAGAUUGAUGGAGAUGACUUGAAUGCAGAGGGGUUGAAUGUGGACAAUACUAAAACUUUUGUCUACUAUCCUCAAGUAGCCGAUGAGUUUACGCCUAAGGUAGGUCAAGAAUUUCAAAUAUUAGAUGAAAUGUAGAAUUUGAUUUUGUUUAAAUUGAUUGAUUUUGAACUUUUGUCUACUUCCUCAACUUUUGUUUAAAAUUGAUUUUGACUUUGCUAUUUUUUGAAAUGUAGAAUUAGAGCAUCAAAUGAUGAUGUUGCUCAGGAUACAAUUGCCAAAUAGAACUAAUGAUCAUGAGGUAUGUGAACUAAUAGAACUUGUGUUUUUCUUUUAUAUCAAUACCCAUUCAUGUUGACAUAGAGAUUCCAUUGACAGUACUAACAGGCUUGCUUCUCACUGCUUUAUAAUGACAGUACUAUUAGACUGCUUUUGUUAGUGUGGAUGAAAAUAUCAAUCAAAUCUUGCAGCAUAUCCAUCCUGCAACUCAAGACUAUUUUGAAAAGCUAGAUCAGAUGGUUACCAUGUGAAACUUUGAGGAAAAAAUGAAGGGAAUCCAAUUUCUUUAUGAGGAAAUCUAUAUCAAUAUUCAGUCAUGAGUUUCCUUGAUUGUGUUUUGGCAUAUAGCUUUAAUUUCUUAUCACCAAUUGUCUUAGUCUUAUAUCAAUAUUCAAUCAUUCUGUUUUUGCCUGAACAAAAGAAUGUAAUAGUUUAGUAGUAUUACAAAAGAAUGUAAUGGUUUAGUGGAAUUUGUGUUCAGGAACUUCAAUUUGCUGCUUUUACCCGUACAAAUUUUUACCUUUAAUUCAACUGGCAGGUUUCUUGUAUCUUUUGCUGGGAGUAUCUUACAUAUGAUGUUUGUGUUUCACCACUGUUUAAUUCAACUGACAGGUUUUUUAUAUGUUUUCCUGUCUCAUGAACCCGUGUGAUGGUUGUUAUUUUAAUAUACUAUUGUAAUUUUUCUGCAGGCAUCAUUGGGCUGCAGGGUUGAUUAGCUGUUU
rnacentral:lncRNA from 1 species